CACCCUUCCUUAAAACUCUUCCUCUCUCUUGAACAUUUUGUGAAAAUGCAUGUGACCUUCGGUCUGAGGUUUAUUCUCAUCUGUCAGCCCGGCCCAAUAAACAGGGCGUGCAACACAUGCACAACGAGUCACAUGAUAAGAUGCACGGAUUGACGGUCUCAGAAGUGGAGCCAACUGAGACUUGUUCUCCGCCACCCGCAUUGAGAGAUGGAUGGAGAGUAUGGUUCCCUGCUCAGCACCCUCAAGAGGAGGUUAGCUUAGGUUCAUAGCAGAGGAGGACAAGGGUCACGAGGGC